AGGGCACCACCAGGAGUGGAGCCUGCGGCUUAAUUUGACUCAACACGGGAAAACUCACCCGGCCCGGACACUGUAAGGAUUGACAGAUUGAUAGCUCUUUCUUAAUUCAGUGGAUGGUGGUGCAUGGCCGUUCUUAGUUGGUGGACUGAUUUGUCUGGUUAAUUCCGAUAACGAACGAGACUCUCGCCUACUAAAUAGACGGCGUAUCGAAACGUACGCCGAGCUUCUUAGAGGGACAAGCGGCGCCUAGCCGCAUGAAACAGAGCAAUAACAGGUCUGUGAUGCCCUUAGAUGUCCGGGGCUGCACGCGCGCUACACUGGCGAAAUCAGCGUGCCUGUCCUCUCUCGAAAGAGAUUGGUAAACCAAUGAAAAUUCGCCGUGAUUGGGAUCGGAAAUUGCAAUUAUUUUCCGUGAACGAGGAAUUCCAAGUAAGUGCGAGUCAUCAACUCGCGUUGAUUACGUCCCUGCCCUUUGUACACACCGCCCGUCGCUGCCCUGGACUGAGCCAUUUCGAGAAA
rnacentral:rRNA from 1 species